UACGUAGGGGGCUAGCGUUAUCCGGAAUUACUGGGCGUAAAGGGUGCGCAGGUGGUUUCUUAAGUCAGAGGUGAAAGGCUACGGCUCAACCGUAGUAAGCCUUUGAAACUGGGGAACUUGAGUGCAGGAGAGGAGAGUGGAAUUCCUAGUGUAGCGGUGAAAUGCGUAGGUAUUAGGAGGAACACCAGUUGCGAAGGCGGCUCUCUGGACUGUAACUGACACUGAGGCACGAAAGCGUGGGGAGCAAACAGG
rnacentral:rRNA from 1 species